UAGAGGACGAACUGGGGAGAGAAUGUAAGAUAGCGGAGGAACUGGGGAGAGAAUGUAAGAUAUAUAUAUAUAUAUAUUUCUACACACUGACUGACUAAUAGUGUUGUCAAGAUAGAGUAUCAGAUCUCACUCUACUUACACUGAACAAAAAUAUGAAUCCAACAUGUAAAAGAUUGGUUUCAUAUGCACAAGGUAGUAAAAAAAAAAUGCAUAUUUCUUUCCAAUUUUGAUAAUUUGUUUACAUCCCUGUCAGUGAGCAUUUCUUCUUUGCCAAGAUAAUCCAUCCACCUGACAGGUGUGACAUAUCAAGAAGCUGAUUAAACAGCAUGAUCAUUACAAAGGUGUACCUUGUGCUGGGGACAAUAAAUGGCCACUAAAAUGUAAAGUUUUCACACAACACAAUGCCACAGAUGUCUCAAGUUUUGAGGGAGUGUGCAGUUGGCAUGCUGACUGCAGGAAUCUCCACCAGUGUUAUGUUAAUUUCUCUACCAUAAGCCGCUUCAAUAUCAUUUUAGAGAAUUUUGCAGUACUUCCAACUGGGCUCACAGCCGACCACGUAACCACGCAAGCCCAGGACCUCCACAUCCGGCCUCUUCACCUGUGGGAUCGUCUGAGACCAGCCACUCGGGCAGCUGAUGAAACUGUGGGUUUGCACAAACAAAGAAUUUCUGCACAAGAAGUCAGAAACCAUCUCAGGGAAGCUCAUCUUCGUGUUUGUUGUCCUCACCAGGGUCUUGACCUGACUGCAGUUUGGUGUCGUAACUGACUUCAGUGGGCAAAUGGCCACUGGGAAAGUGGGGGAGGUGUGCUCUUCACGGGUGAAUAUCGGUUUUAACUGUACCGGGCAGAUGUAUGUGUAUGGCGUUGUGUGGGCGAGCAGUUUUCUGUUGUGAACAGAGUGCCCCAUGGUGUGGUUAUGGUAUAGGCAGGCAGGCAGGCAUAAGCUACGGACAAUGAACACAAUUGCAUUUAAUCAAUGUCCAUUUUGAAUGCACAGAGAUACCGUGAUGUAAUCCUGAGGUCCAUUGUUGUGCUCUUCAUAUGCUGCCAUCACCUCAUGUUUCAGCAUGAUACUGUACAGCCCCAUGUUACUACAAGGAUCUGUAUACAAGUCCUGGAGGCUGAAAAUGUCCCAGUUCUUCCAUUGCCUGCAUACUCACCAGACAUGUCACCCAUUGAGCAUGUUCGGGAUGCUCUGGAUCCACGUCUACAACAGAGUGUAGAAUAUCCAGCAACUUUGCACAGCCAUUGAAGAGUGAGACAACAUUCCACAUGGCAAGUCAACAGCCUGAUCAACUCUAUGUGAAGGAGAUGUGUCGUGCUGCAUGAGGCAAGUGGUGGUCACACCAGAUACUGACUGGUUUUCUGAUCCACACUCCAACCUUUUUGUUGGUAAAGGUGUUUGUGACCAACAGAUGCGUAUCUGUAUUCCCAGUUAUGUGAAAUCCAUAGAUCAGGUCCUAAUUAAUUUAUUUCAAUGACCGAUUUCCUCAUGAACUGUAACUCAGUAAAAUCUUUGCAUGUUUGGUUUAUUUCUUUUUCAGUGUAUAUUAAAAAUAAAAGACAUCUGCCUACAAGUAUCGUGACUACACAACCGACUACUAAGACUAUAUCUUAGGUCUGGGACAAUACCAGUAUCCCGAUACUUGUUUAGUAUCGUGACUACACAACUGACUAAUAAGACUAUAUAUUAGGUCUGGGACAAUACCAGUAUCCCGAUACUUGUUUAGUAUCGUGACUACACAACUGACCACUGAGACUAUAUAUUAGGUCUGGGACAAUACCAGUAUCCCGAUACUUGUUUAGUAUCGUGACUACACAACUGACUAAUAAGACUAUAUAUUAGGUCUGGGACAAUACCAGUAUCCCGAUACUUGUUUAGUAUCGUGACUACACAACUGACUAAUAAGACUAUAUAUUAGGUCUGGGACAAUACCAGUAUCCCAAUACUUGUUUAGUAUCGUGACUACACAACUGAGACUAUAUA